UAGAGUUUGAUCCUGGCUCAGGAUGAACGCUAGCUACAGGCUUAACACAUGCAAGUCGAGGGGAAACGACAUCGAAAGCUUGCUUUUGAUGGGCGUCGACCGGCGCACGGGUGAGUAACGCGUAUCCAACCUGCCCACCACUUGGGGAUAACCUUGCGAAAGUAAGACUAAUACCCAAUGAUAUCUCUAGAAGACAUCUGAAAGAGAUUAAAGAUUUAUCGGUGAUGGAUGGGGAUGCGUCUGAUUAGCUUGUUGGCGGGGUAACGGCCCACCAAGGCGACGAUCAGUAGGGGUUCUGAGAGGAAGGUCCCCCACAUUGGAACUGAGACACGGUCCAAACUCCUACGGGAGGCAGCAGUGAGGAAUAUUGGUCAAUGGGCGAGAGCCUGAACCAGCCAAGUAGCGUGCAGGAUGACGGCCCUAUGGGUUGUAAACUGCUUUUAUAAGGGAAUAAAGUGAGUCUCGUGAGACUUUUUGCAUGUACCUUAUGAAUAAGGACCGGCUAAUUCCGUGCCAGCAGCCGCGGUAAUACGGAAGGUCCGGGCGUUAUCCGGAUUUAUUGGGUUUAAAGGGAGCGUAGGCCGGAGAUUAAGCGUGUUGUGAAAUGUAGACGCUCAACGUCUGCACUGCAGCGCGAACUGGUUUCCUUGAGUACGCACAAAGUGGGCGGAAUUCGUGGUGUAGCGGUGAAAUGCUUAGAUAUCACGAAGAACUCCGAUUGCGAAGGCAGCUCACUGGAGCGCAACUGACGCUGAAGCUCGAAAGUGCGGGUAUCGAACAGGAUUAGAUACCCUGGUAGUCCGCACGGUAAACGAUGGAUGCCCGCUGUUGGUCUGAAUAGGUCAGCGGCCAAGCGAAAGCAUUAAGCAUCCCACUUGGGGAGUACGCCGGCAACGG
rnacentral:rRNA from 1 species